rnacentral:rRNA from 1 species
GAGUCUAGCAUGUGCGCGAGUCAUUGGGACUCGCACGAAACCUAAAGGCGUAAUGAAAGUGAAGGCUGCGUUUACUCUUCUGCUCUUUCCUAAUCUUAGGAGAGAGCGGAGAGUUUCGCGACCGAGGGAGGAUAGGUAUAUACGUAGCGAACGAAAACAACGUGUCGUGUGUCGUGUCAUCGACCGAUAUAUACACGCGUUCGACCUCGCACUCCCUGGGCGUCUCGUUCUCAUCGCGAGAAGAGGCGCACCUAUAGCGUACACGCUGGGACCCGAAAGAUGGUGAACUAUGCCUGGUCAGGAUGAAGUCAGGGGAAACCCUGAUGGAGGUCCGUAGCGAUUCUGACGUGCAAAUCGAUCGUCGGAACUGGGUAUAGGGGCGAAAGACUAAUCGAACCGUCUAGUAGCUGGUUCCCUCCGAAGUUUCCCUCAGGAUAGCUGGCUCUCGUGUUAUACGAGUCUCAUUCGGUAAAGCGAAUGAUUAGAGGCAUUGGGGUCGAAACGGCCUCAACCUAUUCUCAAACUUUAAAUGGGUGAGAUCUCCGGCUUGCUUUAAACGUGAAGCCGCGAGUGUUUCGGAUCAGAGUGCCAAGUGGGCCACUUUUGGUAAGCAGAACUGGUGAUGUGGGAUGAACCAAACGUAUAGUUAAAGCGCCAAAAUCGACGCUUAUGGGAUACCAUAAAAGGCGUUGGUAACUUAAGACAGCAGGACGGUGGCCAUGGAAGUCGGA